UACGUAGGCAGCGAGCGUUGUUCGGAGUUACUGGGCGUAAAGGGCGUGUAGGCGGUUUUCUAAGUUUGGUGUGAAAUCUCCCGGCUUAACCGGGAGGGUGCGCCGAAAACUGGGAGACUAGAGUGCGGGAUGGGAGAGUAGAAUUCCUGGUGUAGCGGUGAAAUGCGUAGAUAUCAGGAGGAAUACCGGUGGUGUAGACGGCUCUCUGGACCGCAACUGACGCUGAGACACGAAAGCGUGGGUAGCAAACAGG
rnacentral:rRNA from 1 species